AUAUACAUGAUGACAAAUAAAACAACAAUUGAUAGUACUACGAUGAUAUUUAUGAGCUUUUUAACACUGAAUACA